ACUUGUAAGUUUAUCGUUCUUUCUCGCGUUAAUUCGUGUCUGGUUAGCCAGGGAGAGAUAAAAGUUUUCGAACUAAAUCAAUUGUUGUGAACGGGGUUUCCCAUUGAUAACAAAAAACAUGGCGGCUAUUUGUUAGUAGGUCCCGCUUCAAGAUUUCAAAAUCAUCAAACGUUCCAGAAAUGCAACAACUGUAAAAACUUUCAACGCUGUUUUGUUCAUAUGGAUGGGAACAAACACAUGUGUAUGCAUUUUUGAAUAUAAAAGUUUUGUGGCGGUACUUGGCAAGCAAUUUUCUCACACUUUACUGUGGCUAUUGGUGCUGAUCUUGAGCUAAAGGUAAAUGGAACAGCAUGGAUGUGGAUUUUUAGACACAAGGAAGCUGAAUUUAACUUUUAAUGAAGAAUUUAAAUGAUGAUUGUCCAUGAAAAGAAAUAUUAAUCAUAUACAUUGUAAUGCUGUAUUGAUGCAUCUUCUGUUUUAAGUAAUUAAAAAACCAUCCAUUUAUGAAAUUAUUUUCAUUUUUU